rnacentral:misc_RNA from 1 species
GAAAUGCGAUAAGUAGUGUGAAUAGCAGAAUUCAGUGAAUCAUCGAAUCUUUGAACGCACAUUGCGCCCUUUGGUAUUCCAAAGGGCAUGCCUGUUCGAGCGUCAUUUGUACCCUCAAGCUUUGCUUGGUGUUGGGCGUCUUGUCUCUAGCUUUGCUGGAGACUCGCCUUAAAGUAAUUGGCAGCCGGCCUACUGGUUUCGGAGCGCAGCACAAGUCGCACUCUCUAUCAGCAAAGGUCUAGCAUCCAUUAAGCCUUUUUUCAACUUUUGACCUCGGAUCAGGUAGGGAUACCCGCUGAACUUAAGC